CUAGCAGGCUUGUCCGAGUCGCACUUCGUCCGUCCGUCGGCCUCUCCUCCGGGAUUCGUCGACGGUUCGGUCGGUGUUCCUCGACUUGCGAUGGGACGACGCAUGAGUGGCCAUCGGGAUAUCGUUCCGCGCAGGCUCCGUGCUUCUGGCAUCGAACUGCAUCGGCGUGUCCCCUUCAUUUGUGGGCCGGCAUCGGCGUUUCGGGCGUCGGUUGCGGCCGCUCGUUGGGUUCCUGCGCUUGAUAUCUCAUUCGACAGUCGGGUGGAAUUAUUGUCCCCGUCGUGGUAUGUCGGUCCGCCCUCGCCUCGCGCGGCGUCGGUGGUCGUUUUGCUGGCAUCGGCGUUCGCCUUCCGGGCCGUAGUCCCCUCUGCGGGGCUCCUGCUCGUGAUGGCACGUCGAUGCUGCCGGCUCUCUCGGUUACGGAGAAUCUGUGGUUGCCGCAUCGGUCCGCGACCUUUGCGCGCGUAACGUUUCGAAGCGUCCUCGCUUCUGCUCGUAUGACCCUCGUUCUCGUCUUGGAGCUCACGGGGCCUCUUCGUUCCGUGUUCUUCUCGGGGAGCCAUCGAGGUCAUCGACGGGAUGCUACCUGGUUGAUCCUGCCAGUAGUCAU
rnacentral:misc_RNA from 1 species